ensembl:snoRNA
GCACCUCUGUACAACCCUGUUGAUGGUUUCUGUUUGACGUGGGUUAUUUUGGUGCCAGAGAGACUCAAUGUAAAUCCAGAUGGUCCUCCCUCUGAUGGAGCCUGUCUCUACAACUUUGAUACAUAA